GACGAACGCUGGCGGCGUGCUUAACACAUGCAAGUCGAACGGAAAGGCCCUGCUUUUGUGGGGUGCUCGAGUGGCGAACGGGUGAGUAACACGUGAGUAACCUGCCCUUGACUUUGGGAUAACUUCAGGAAACUGGGGCUAAUACCGGAUAGGAGCUCCUGCUGCAUGGUGGGGGUUGGAAAGUUUCGGCGGUUGGGGAUGGACUCGCGGCUUAUCAGCUUGUUGGUGGGGUGGUGGCUUACCAAGGCUUUGACGGGUAGCCGGCCUGAGCGGGUGUCCGGCCACAUUGGGACUGAGAUACGGCCCAGACUCCUACGGGAGGCAGCAGUGGGGAAUAUUGCACAAUGGGCGGAAGCCUGAUGCAGCAACGCCGCGUGCGGGAGGACGGCCUUCGGGUUGUAAACCGCUUUCGCCUGUGACGAAGCGUGAGUGACGGUAAUGGGUAAAGAAGCACCGGCUAACUACGUG
rnacentral:rRNA from 1 species